ACACUGUAAAAAAUUUCUGUAAAUUUACAUGAAAAUUCAACAGCAAAAUGCUGUUUUCGUGUAAUAACAGUAAGUUGCUGUUUUUUACAGUGCAUUGUGGGUAGACUUGCUCACUUCAGGUCGGUUGUCGAGCAACAACAGAAUGUCACUGUUAUUUAACAGUAUUAUAGCAUAUUUUUCGUUGUGCACGCCAUUUUGGAUUGUCUGCAUGAGGUAGGUCUGCAACUUUAUCGAUGCUUGUGCUAUUUUAAAAUUACAUAUUACUUUUGAAUAUUGCAUUUUAUCCAGUGAAGCUUUAAAACAACAAAAUCAGAUUCCAUUUCCUAUUUUAAUCAGGCAAAGCGGGUAUUCUACCAUCACAUCAGUUACACUCACAUCAGAUCACAGGGUUAUUUUGGUGCUUUGGUGCUAUUUUGGUCCCUAUUCCCUGCAUUGUAUAGACAAACAAAUAUUGCAUAUAUUAUUAAGAUGUGUGCCACUCCUGCUGACUUUGAGGAGACUAGUAACUUGUGACACCUCGUUUGAUCCUGUUUGGUAAAUAUGAAAUUUUUAUGAAAUUUUGACAUUUGACAUUUUUCACUAAACAAGGCCACUCCAGGCUGACACAACCUUUUACUAUCUUUCUUUCUUUCUUAUUCUUUAUGCCAUUCCAGCAUCUUUGGCUAUAUUCAUGGCGAGUACUGGUUAAUCCAUAUACAAGUUUUUAUUUACACAAGUCAAUCCAGACACUGGUUGGGGUAGAGACAAUUUGGCAUCUGUGAGUACCUAGCUGGGGCUCGAACCAGGGAUCUUCUUGCUGUGCCUUUUACUAUCAGGAGAACAUCAAGCUUUAUGUGCCUCAUUCUGGAGGCCACCGUAUUUUAAACAUGUUUAAUGUGUGACAAACUGCCAGUGCUUGCAUAUUCUUCUCACUGCCUUUUCUACACUUAGCUCUCCAGAUAUUAAGGAUUAUACAUUAAUCUAUACAUUCAUUUGGUCCA